AGAGUUUGAUCCUGGCUCAGAUUGAACGCUGGCGGCAUGCCUUACACAUGCAAGUCGAACGGUAAUGGGCCUUCGGGUGCCGACGAGUGGCGAACGGGUGAGUAAUGUAUCGGAACGUACCUUUCAGUGGGGGAUAACGUAGCGAAAGUUACGCUAAUACCGCAUAUUCUGUGAGCAGGAAAGCAGGGGAUCGCAAGACCUUGCGCUGAUUGAGCGGCCGAUAUCAGAUUAGCUAGUUGGUGAGGUAAAGGCUCACCAAGGCGACGAUCUGUAGCGGGUCUGAGAGGAUGAUCCGCCACACUGGAACUGAGACACGGUCCAGACUCCUACGGGAGGCAGCAGUGGGGAAUUUUGGACAAUGGGGGCAACCCUGAUCCAGCCAUGCCGCGUGAGUGAAGAAGGCCUUCGGGUUGUAAAGCUCUUUCGGCCGGGAAGAAAUCGUAUGGGUUAAUACCCUGUGCGGAUGACGGUACCGGCAUAAGAAGCACCGGCUAACUACGUGCCAGCAGCCGCGGUAAUACGUAGGGUGCGAGCGUUAAUCGGAAUUACUGGGCGUAAAGCGUGCGCAGGCGGUUUUGUAAGACAGGCGUGAAAUCCCCGGGCUC
rnacentral:rRNA from 1 species